GAUUAUGGCUCAGGACAACGCUGGCGGCAUGCCUAACACAUGCAAGUCGAACGGGGGUAGCAAUACCCUAGUGGCGAACGGGUGAGUAACACAUAAGCAAUCUGCCCUUCACAGGGGGAUAACAGCGGGAAACUGCUGCUAAUACCGCAUAAGACCACGGUACCGCAUGGUACAGGGGUAAAAACGAAUCAGUGGUGAAGGAUGAGCUUAUGUCCCAUUAGCUAGUUGGUGAGAUAACAGCCCACCAAGGCGACGAUGGGUAGCCGACCUGAGAGGGUGAUCGGCCACACUGGAACUGAGACACGGUCCAGACUCCUACGGGAGGCAGCAGUGGGGAAUAUUGGGCAAUGGAGGAAGCCUCUUACCCAGCAAUGCCGCGUGAGUGAAGAAGGUCUUCGGAUUGUAAAGCUCUUUGAUUGGGGACGAAGAAAGUGACGGUACCCAAAGAACAAGCCCCGGCUAACUACGUGCCAGCAGCCGC
rnacentral:rRNA from 1 species